AUUGAACGCUAGCGGCAGGCCUAACACAUGCAAGUCGAACGCGUGGCGGACGGGUGAGUAAUGUCUGGGAAACUGCCUGAUGGAGGGGGAUAACUACUGGAAACGGUAGCUAAUACCGCAUACCAUCGGAUGUGCCCAGAUGGGAUUGGCUCGUAGGUGGGGUAACGGCUCACCUAGGCGACGAUCCCGAGCUGGUCUGAGAGGAUGACCAGCCACACUGGAACGUAGACACGGGCCAGACUCCUACGGGAGGCAGCAGUGGGGAAUAUUGCACAAUGGGAGCAAGCCUGAUGCAGCCAUGCCGCGUGUAUGAAGAAGGCCUUCGGGUUGUAAAGUACUUUCAGCCGGGAGGCGUUACUCGCAGAAGAAGCAUCGGCUAACUCCGUGCCAGCAGCCGCGGUAAUAC
rnacentral:rRNA from 1 species